UACAGACAACUCACCAUGGAAUUUGUGCUGGGCUGGGUUUUCCUUCUUGCUCUUUUAAAAGCUUCCACCACGGCCCCAUCGGUUUUCCCACUGGCCCCCAGCUGCGGGGCCACCCCCGGAUCCACAGUGGCCCUGGCCUGCCUGGUGUCCGGCUACUUCCCUGAGCCUGUCACUGUGUCCUGGAACUCCGGCUCCUUGACCAGCGGUGUGCACACCUUCCCGUCUGUCCUGCAGUCCUCGGGUCUCUACUCUCUCAGCAGCAUGGUGACCGUGCCCUCCAGCAGGUGGCCCAGCGACACCUUCAUCUGCACCGUGGCCCACCCAGCCAGUAACACCAAGGUGGACAAGAGAGUGACCCAAAGAGGACCUCCUGACACUGACCCAUGCAAAAAAUGUCCCCAACCUCCAGCAUGUGAUAUGCUCGGAGGACCUUCAGUCUUCAUGUUCCCCCCGAAACCCAAGGACACUCUCUCCAUUUCCCGAACCCCCGAGGUUACAUGCAUGGUGGUGGACCUGGAAGACCCUGAGGUCCAGAUCAGCUGGUUUGUGGACAACCAGGAGGUGCACGCGGCCAAGACGAAUUCGCGUGAGCAGCAGUUCAACAGCACCUUCCGUGUGGUCAGUGUCCUCCCCAUCCAGCACCAGGACUGGCUCAAGGGGAAGGUCUUCAAGUGCAAGGUCAACAACAAAGCUCUCCCAUCCCCCAUUGAGAGGACCAUCUCCAAGGCCAGAGGGGAACCCCAUCAGCCCAGAGUGUAUGUCCUGCCCCCACCCCGGGACGAGAUGAGCAGGAACACCAUCAGUGUGACCUGCCUGGUCAAAGACUUCUACCCACCUGACAUCGAUGUGGAGUGGCAGAGCAACGGCCGUCAGUUACCAGAGGCCAGUGUCCGAACAACCCCGCCCCAGCUGGAUGCAGACGGCAGCUACUUCCUCUACAGCAAGCUCUCCGUGGACAAGGCGCACUGGCAGCGGGGAGACACCUUCACGUGUGCGGUGCUGCAUGAAGCCCUACACAACCAUCACACGCAGAAGUCCAUCUCCCAGUCUCCGGGUAAAUGAGCAGCACAGCCGGCCCCGCAGCAAGCCCCCCACCCACAGGCUCUUGGAGUCCCACGAGGACGCCGGAGCCCCCACCCCUGUGUACGUACCUCCCGGGCAGGCGCCCCUGCGUGAAAUAAAGCACCCAGCACUGCCCUGGGACCCAGCGA